rnacentral:rRNA from 1 species
UGCCAGACUCCUACGGGAGGCAGCAGUGGGGGAUAUUGCACAACGGGGGGAACCCUGAUGCAGCGACGCCGCGUGGGUGAAGGAGCGUUUCGGCGCGUAAAGCCCUAUCGGCAGGGAAGAAGGAGGACGGUACCUGACUAAGAAGCCCCGGCUAACUACGUGCCAGCAGCCGCGGUAAUACGUAGGGGGCAAGCGUUAUCCGGGUUUACUGGGUGUAAAGGGGGCGCAGACGGCAGCGCAAGCCAGGAGUGAAAGCCCGGGGCCCAACCCCGGGACUGCUCUUGGAACUGCGCGGCUGGAGUGCAGGAGGGGCAGGCGGAAUUCCUGGUGUAGCGGUGAAAUGCGUAGAUAUCAGGAGGAACACCGGUGGCGAAGGCGGCCUGCUGGACUGCGACUGACGUUGAGGCCCGAAAGCGUGGGGAGCAAACAGGAUUAGAUACCCGGGUAU